UGAGGAAUAUUGGUCAAUGGACGGAAGUCUGAACCAGCCAUGCCGCGUGCAGGAAGACGGCUCUAUGAGUUGUAAACUGCUUUUGUACGAGGGUAAACGCAGAUACGUGUAUCUGCCUGAAAGUAUCGUACGAAUAAGGAUCGGCUAACUCCGUGCCAGCAGCCGCGGUAAUACGGAGGAUCCAAGCGUUAUCCGGAUUUAUUGGGUUUAAAGGGUGCGUAGGCGGUUUAGUAAGUCAGCGGUGAAAUUUUGGUGCUUAACACCAAACGUGCCGUUGAUACUGCUGGGCUAGAGAGUAGUUGCGGUAGGCGGAAUGUAUGGUGUAGCGGUGAAAUGCUUAGAGAUCAUACAGAACACCGAUUGCGAAGGCAGCUUACCAAACUAUAUCUGACGUUGAGGCACGAAAGCGUGGGGAGCAAACA
rnacentral:rRNA from 1 species